rnacentral:tRNA from 1 species
GGGGAUUUAGCUCAGCGGCAUAAGCGCCUGCCUUCCAAGCAGGCAGUCGUGAAUUCAAACCCUG